AGAGUUUGAUCCUGGCUCAGAACGAACGUUAGCGGCGCGCCUAACACAUGCAAGUCGAGCGAGAAAGGGCUUCGGCCCCGGUAAAGCGGCGCACGGGUGAGUAACACGUGGAUAACCUACCCUUGGUGGUGGAUAACCUUCCGAAAGGAGGGCUAAUACAGCGUAAGACCACGACUUCGAAAGAGGUUGAGGUAAAAAGUGGGCCUCUGUACACAAGCUCACGCCAGGGGAUGGGUCCGCGGCCCAUCAGCUAGUUGGUAGGGUAACGGCCUACCAAGACGAAGACGGGUAGCUGGUCUGAGAGGAUGAUCAGCCACACUGGAACUGAGACACGGUCCAGACUCCUACGGGAGGCAGCAGUGGGGAAUCUUGCGCAAUGGACGAAAGUCUGACGCAGCGACGCCGCGUGAGUGAUGAAGGCCUUCGGGUUGUAAAGCUCUGUGGAGAGGGACGAAUAAGUGUCGUCGAAUAGACGGCAUGAUGACGGUACCUUUUUAGCAAGCACCGGCUAACUCUGUG
rnacentral:rRNA from 1 species